rnacentral:rRNA from 1 species
UGCCCAACAGCUAGCCCCCCAACACAACAACAACCAACCACUAUUUAUAACCCCAAAUAUACUAGCACAUGCAUUAAACAAACCAUUUUUCCCCUUUAGUAUGGGCGACAGAAAAAGGACCAAGGAGCCAUAGAAAAAGUACCGCAAGGGAACGCUGAAAGAGAAAUGAAACAACCCAGUAAAGCCAAAAAAAGCAGAGAUUUAACCUCGUACCUUUUGCAUCAUGAUUUAGCCAGACUAUUCCAAGCAAAGCGCACUUUAGUUUGAUACCCCGAAACUAGGGGAGCUACUCCAAGCCCGCCUAUCUAUUAGGGCAAACCCGUCUCUGUGGCAAAAGAGUGGGAUGAGCUUCGAGUAGAGGUGAUAAACCUACCGAACCUAGUUAUAGCUGGUUGCCCGGGAAUUGGAUAGAAGUUCAGCCUCCCAGAUUCUUUAAUCGCCUCAGUACCACUCCACCUGAAUAUGAGAAGCUAGGAGAGUUAGUCAAAGGGGGUACAGCCCCUUUGAAACAAGACACAACUUUUCAGGCAGGAAAAAGAUCAUA